UUAGAUUGGAAACUCCGACGCCGCUUUUCUUGUCAGAAAGACAUCCCAAAUCCAGGCAACCAAGAUCCAUGGUGGCUUUGAUCAUAUCUUCAAAUUUAUAUCAGAUUAGCGACGAAGAUUCAGAUAAGAUAAGCAAAAAUCUUUGCUUCAGAAAGUUCAAUUGGAGAAGAGAGAAGUAGAGAGAGGAGAAUAUUUUUGUUUGCUUUUGUUAAAACUAAAAGAGCCAACCACGAUGCGCCACGUAUGGGACUCUCUCAGCUUCCAAAAACUCUGUCGAGAAAGCCGAUUCUCUAACUUAUUCUGUAUUUUAAUUUAUUUAUUCACUUUAAACAAGAGAGACUCAACUUUUUUCCAAUAAAACCUCCCGUUGGAGGUGCUCUUAGUAAAAUCAGGUUGACCUGUUAAAUUCGAGUCAUAUCAGAUAUCCAAAAUCCGAUCGGGUAUCCGCUACUCCAA